rnacentral:lncRNA from 1 species
CCAUUCAUGGACAUCAACCAAAAUAGGCAGGAGAGAGCACUAUCGAACUAAUCACUGUUUUUAACUCGUACAAAUCAAUGUUUUUAAUUCAAACCAUUUUUCCUUUCUUGCACAAACAUCUAACUGUCAUGCGCACUUUCUUUUAAGAAGUAGCAAUCAAAUCAUCAUAGACAGAAAGUUUGAACUUGCAGCUGCUCCUAUGUGUACGGAUUCCAGGUUCUGGUCAUCCUCAUUGCCCGUGUCGUGUACUUCAUCCUCAACAUGCUGAUGUCCUUCAUGCUAGUGAUCGGCGUCGUCAUCCUGGGCUUGCGCAUUGGAGGUGCCGCAUCCUUACUCACUGUGAUGAUGUGUUUGUACUGCCCAAAACAAAUAUGUGGGAUCACAAAAUAAACAUUUUCAAAAAAUUAUUUGGUGCUAACAGGAAUAGAAACAAACACUAAAGAGCAUGACAAACAGUAAAUAGUUUCAGUUCCCCUGAACAUACCAAUGCUACCCACAAUUUGCGAUAGCUAAUCAGCGCGCCAUGCAAACAACAGUGAGUACUAUCCUUCAAUGUUAUUUUGUUUUUAUUAAACUGACCCGAAAAAAGGUAGUAGCAUGAUUUUUCACAACUCGUCACAAUGUAUAUGUACAUGUACUUGUUCAUGUUUACCCCAUUUAGAUUCAGUAUAUGUACAUGUACAUCUCUUUUGCACCUCAACCAUUGACAUGAAAAAAUGAUUUUAUGACAGAAGUGUUGUAUAUAAGCUUCAGAAAUCAAAUGAAUCUUUUCUGCCAAAUGGAUCAUAAAAAAUAUUAACCAAACAUCAAUAUUUUUUGAACUGCUAGACCAGAGCAAGUUUAGAAAUUUUCACAAGCAGAAAAAGUGAUUUUUUGUAGCUUUUUAUACACAAAGUAUGUUCAACAACGACAUUUGCAUCACAACAGUUCAAUAGCAGCAGGACACCGAGUUCAGUAGUUGCACAUAGCAAAAAUUAGCUACCAAAGAUAAUACACGCACACAAGUUUAGUACCAAUAGCUAUAACUAGCCAGAUUCAUUCACGGAAGUAGCCGCACAAGUGCAGUAGCAGCUCGCUGCUCAUACCUGCUCGCCAG